rnacentral:sRNA from 1 species
UUUUAGCCCAGAUAAAAGCGGUAUCCUUUUGUUUUUUUCUUUAAAAAACAAAAGAUAUAAGCGGAUAGCUGGAAAUAGC